rnacentral:rRNA from 1 species
UACGAGGGGGGCGAGCGUUGCUCGGAAUUAUUGGGCGUAAAGGGUGCGUAGGCGGUUUGGUAAGUCUGAUGUGAAAUCUAUGGGCUCAACUCAUAGUCUGCAUCGGAAACUGCCGGGCUUGAGUGUGGGAGAGGUGAGUGGAAUUCCUGGUGUAGCGGUGAAAUGCGUAGAUAUCAGGAGGAACACCGGUGGCGAAGGCGGGUCUCUGGGCCGAUACUGACGCUGAGGAGCGAAAGCGUGGGGAGCGAACAGG